rnacentral:rRNA from 1 species
UACGUAGGGUGCAAGCGUUGUCCGGAAUUAUUGGGCGUAAAGAGCUCGUAGGCGGUCUGUCACGUCGGCUGUGAAAACCCGAGGCUCAACCUCGGGCCUGCAGUCGAUACGGGCAGACUAGAGUUCGGUAGGGGAGACUGGAAUUCCUGGUGUAGCGGUGAAAUGCGCAGAUAUCAGGAGGAACACCGGUGGCGAAGGCGGGUCUCUGGGUAGUAACUGACGCUGAGGAACGAAAGCGUGGGUAGCGAACAGG